rnacentral:lncRNA from 1 species
AUAGACCUAAACCUACACCCUAAGAGAUCUAGACAGCCGCCAUCUAAAAAACUACACAAACCAGCGUGCAUCCUCGCCAAGAAGGGAACGACCUUACUUUGCUUUCUUCUUCAUCUGGAGUACGCCUAAAAACCAGCGAAUUCCAUCGCUCACACGCACACGAAAAGAAAUAGAGACAGAAUCUUUCACAUUACAAGCUAAUCAAGUGGAUGAAAUUUGAAUUUCUUGUCUAGUCAAUUAGCAAGGAAUCAUUGAGAAGAUAUGUGUCUAUGCAAAUGAAAAUUGCAUCCAAGGGUUGUUAUUAGAUUUAGAUUCAAAAAAUAGGAAAAAUGACAAUAUUUGGAUAGAUAACGGCGUGGAGAUAUAGCUAGGCAAUUGCAUUUGUCCAUUUCCAAGUUAGAAGAAACUUAAAAGAAAAAAGAGGGGAAGAAACGAUAGAGUCUUGUGCCCCGAUUUGAUUGAGGUUGGUUUGUAUUUCGAGUGUUCCGGUGUUGAUUCGAGGUUUCAGUUCGCAAAUGGUUGUUUCAGUCCAAGAACUGUUGAUUUGCAAUUUUCGGCUUUGUUCAUCAAUAAAAGGUUCAUUUCUUAAUUUUCAUUUUCAUUUCAUUUUGUUACAAUAACUUGGUGUUUGUAAUGGUUGAUUUGUGAUUCUCUAUUGUUUGAGUUACAUGUCUUAAUUUUCAUAUAAAUUGUUUAAUUAGUUUUUAGUUCGAUUGUGAUGUGUACACUCUUGGUUAUUGAACAAAUGCUUUUAAUUAGGUAGAUAAAAAAUAAUAGUUGUUUCUUUCUUGGCAAGGAAUAAGAAUGGGUCACAAGGUGGGUGUUGGACUAUAAGGAAUCUAACAAAGUAAUAGAUCAUGUUGGCUAGCCUAUUUUCUCCCCAAUAAUAUCUUGUCCAUAAAUUUGGCAUCACAACAAUCUUAAAGGUUAGGAAAAUAAUUAAAAUGCGCUAAUUGCUUUAGGCGCGUAACUUAAAUUAAUUUUAUUAAACUCGUGUGUGCAUUUAUGUGACCCAAAUCUAAAUCCCAACGAUACUAAAAUAUGUCAAAAAUCAUGGGGUGCAUUAAUGUGACGUGGUUCGAGAUGUGUUUUAGAAAUGUUGCAAUUUUCUUAAAAAUUAAAUAAAAGUGGUUUAAAAGGGAUAAAUGCACAUAGGCUUAACAUGUAUUAAAAUCAUAUUUUUAGCCCAAUAUAAUAGCUGUGCGACCGUGCUAGAACCACGGAACUCGAGAGUGCCUAAUACCUUGUCACGGGUUAACAAAAUUCCUUAAUUAGAUUUCUGGUUCGCUGACUGUUAACAGAGUUAAACUUUCCUCGAUUCGGGAUUCAAACCGGUGACUUGGGACACCAUUAAUUAUUUCAAGUGGCGACUCUAAAUUAUUUAAAUAAAUAAUCAUGUUUCAAUUGUCACUUCAAGUUGGAAAUAACUCCCUUUCUACGCCCUUCUCGGGAGUGUAGUAUAAAAAGGAGGUGUGACAGCUCUGGCGACUCUGCUGGUGACUAAUGAUUAAAACUACCUCCUAUUAUUCAGGUGAGUCCUGACAAUUCUUGUUGACUAUUGCUGGGGAAGUAUCUAAUCUAAGUCCCAUUUUUCAGGAGGGCCCUGAUGACUCUUGCUGACUUAGCUGGGGAAAUUUGAAAUUUUCCCUCUAAAUCCCAUUUUUAGGAGGGUCCUAAUGACUCUUCUUGGUUCUUAUUGACUCUAGCAUGGGGAAUAUUUUCUCUAAGUCGCAUUUUUCGGGAGGGUCCUGAUGACCUUAAUUGACUCUUGUUGACUCCGGUUGGGGAGAUUUUUGCUCUAAGUCCCAUUUUUCAGGAGGGUCAUAAUGAUUCUUAUUGCUUCUUGUUAGGGAAAUAUCUAAUCUAAGUCCUCUUUUUUCAGGGAGAUCCUGAUGAUUCUUGUUGACUCUGGUUGGGGAAGUGUUUGGGUUUGACCAUGCCACCAAACUGUUUGUGUCCUAAGCUAAGCUCCAUUUUCCAGGAGCAUCCUGACAACUCCUAACUGAAUCCUACUUCAACAUGCAAGUCAUUUUAUGCCAUUUGUUAUCCAUGAUUAUUCCUAACCUUAAAAUGAGUCCCAUUUUCCAGGAGGGUCCUGAAGGUUCCAACUUAAAUGUCAAUUAUAACUUCUGGUUGUUUCUGCUAAUGAUUAUCGUCCAGAAGGGUUUCUGCGACUCUUACUGGGGAAAGUAUUGGUGCUUGCCCAUGUUACCCGUACCUGUUUGAGUUCCAAACAGUGUUCCAUCUCAACUUCUAUGCUUCUUUUAACUCUCGAUUGUUCCUAAAAGUUUGUCCCCUUGUGCUCUUUGCUGGGGAGGGUGUUUAUGAUGGACUAUGUCCCUUUUGAGUUUGAACUGGAUCCCAUUUUCAUAUGGGCCCUAAGGUUUUGAUCAUACCUUCCAUGUGCCUGCUUUACCACAUGGAUGGCAUCCCUUAGGCUCUUCUAGAAUUUUUCUGCGAUGUGUCAAUCAAGGAAAACUAGUCAGUUUGAAAAAUGGUGGUUAGUUUGCGUCAUUCUUCAUGGAAGCGGCCUCCUCACUGUCAUGUUCCGUUGUGUUCAAAUUUCCAUGUUGAUGAUGGGUUUCCUGAGUUGGUUGGCUGACCCCUGGACCUUUAUGGCUUUACUUUGCUCGCCCAUUAUUUUACAUUCCUAGCCCUUUUGCCAUAAUUCUUG